UAGAAACAUGUUUAUGUUACUAACUCCUAGAAACAUGUUUAUGUUACUAACUCCUAGAAACAUGUUUAUGUUACUAACUCCUAACAGAGUAGAAACAUGUUUAUGUUACUAACUCCUAACAGGGUAGGAACAUGUUUAUGUUACUAACUCCUAGAAACAUGUUUAUGUUACUAACUCUAGAAACAUGUUUAUGUUACUAACUCCUAGAAACAUGUUUAUGUUACUAACUCCUAACAGGGUAGAAACAUGUUUAUGUCACAAACUCCUAACAGGGUAGAAACAUGUUUAUGUUACUAACUCCUAGAAACAUGUUUAUGUUACUAACUCCUAACAGGGUAGAACCAUGUUUAUGUCACUAACUCCUAACAGGGUAGAACCAUGUUUAUGUCACUAACUCCUAACAGGGUAGAAACAUGUUUAUGUUACUAACUCCUAACAGGGUAGAAACAUGUUUAUGUCACUAACUCCUAACAGGGUAGAAACAUGUUUAUGUUACUAACUCCUAACAGGGUAGAAACAUGUUUAUGUCACUAACUCCUAACAGGGUAGAAACAUGUUUAUGUUACUAACUCCUAGAAACAUGUUUAUGUUACUAACUCCUAGAAACAUGUUUAUGUUACUAACUCCUAACAGGGUAGAAACAUGUUGAUGUUACUGUUGCGUCAAAAGACAGGUAUUCAUAUUCAAGGCGUUCAGAUUUUCAACUGAUUUCAAAGAUAAAACACCAGCAGGGGGCGAAAGAGUGUAUGCAUUGUCAAACCCAUCAUUAGCUUGUGUUUCCCUGGGGAACAUAUAUACCGGUGCUCCUUUGUGAUAGCAGGUGGUGAAAUGUUUGGUGGAAAAGCAUUUCACUGGAAGUCCUUCACGGAAGAGGAGACUCUCAUCCAUACACAUUCAGCUCAUUUAGGAUUCUGGAGACUCAACCGGUUAUCAACCUAACUAACUAAAGAACUAAUUAACUAACUAACUGACUAAAGAAAUAAAAGAAGUCAGAAGAAAAUUGACUUGUCCCUUGCGUCCUUCAGUCCUUAAAGGCCUUUUUCAAGUUUGGGC
rnacentral:lncRNA from 1 species